UUUAUACAUGAGCAAAAUCUCAACUUUAUUAGAAGAGACGCAUUUAUUAGAUAAAAAGCCAAUGCAUGCUUUUACAGUAUGAAAAUUGGUGAUUUAUAAUAACUUAGCAAAUCGCAAAGUGAAAACAGGCGAUAAAUCAUUCAAGUUUCUGACCUAUCAGCUUUCGACGGUAUGGUAUUGGCUUACCGUGGCAGUGACGGUUAACGGGGGAUUAGGGUUCGAUUCCGGAGAGGGAGCCUGAGAAACGGCUACCACAUCUAAGGAAGGCAGCAGGCGCGCAAAUUACCCAAUUCUAACAGUUUGAGAGAGGUAGUAACAAGAAAUAACAAUACAAGGCAGUUAAAAUGCUUUGUAAUUGGAAUGAUAGAAAUUUAAACCCUUUUUAAAGUAUCAAUUGGAGGGCAAGUCUGGUGCCAGCAGCCGCGGUAAUUCCAGCUCCAAUAGCGUAUAUUAAAAUUGUUGCAGUUAAAAAGCUCGUAGUUGAAGUUCUGCUAAAAGUAACCGGUCUGCUUUUAAUAAAGGUGGUAUCUUGGUGUGUAUUUAGCAAUGAUGUCCUUUGAAGUGUUUUUUACUAUUACUUGUAAUAUAUGCAUCAGCAGCAGGAUUCUUUAACCUGAGAUAAAUUUGAUCUGU
rnacentral:rRNA from 1 species